CUCAGACAUCAGUUCUAUUGAACUGAGAGUAGGGGGAUGUGGACAUUUUUGUGAAGGUGCAAUGUGAGUUGGACUGGAAGAAUGUCUAUUACAGAUCCUAAUUGAAGUAGCGAUUAUCCAGGCUUGUAUCCUGGGGGCUGAUGAGGAGUAGGGUUUCUGGACAACUUAAACAGAUCCAGAGUUAGUCGAUCCUAAUCUCAAUAAUGGGAGAAAGGGAGUACAGUUGAUAUUCUGUAACUGACAACAGUUCGCGGCAACGCAUACUAUUUUUCUCCGCCAAUCUUAUACCGUUGGUAGGGAUCUCUUUCCUACAUGACAGUACUAAUACCCAGGGAAACUGGUCAUCAGGCGAACUGCGGCGUUCUGCUGGCAAAACAUAGCUUCGGUUAUGUCAAUGGCUAUUGGAUUGGUCCAUGAAGCGAAAAAUAGUUUACUGUGUCACUCGUACCGAUAACCGCAUCAGGUCUUCUAGGUAAGUAGCCUAUGGCCAUUGAGGCAUGAUAGUUCAGGGAAUUCGGCCAAUUAGAGCUGUAACUUCGGGAUAAAGCUUGGCUCUGAUGAAAAUCAGAACCGAUUGUUACGCGGAGAGCCCAACUGUUUAAUAAAAACGUAGUGUCGCGCUGUGGUAGUAUAGCCAGUGAACGCGACAUGAAUCCUGCUCAGUGCUGUGUCUGUUAAUAUGGUUCAAGCCAACGAAGCACCGGUAAAUAGCUGGGGUAACUAUGACUCUUAUCAAAGUAGCGAAAUACCUCGUCACUUAAUUAGUGACCUGCAUGAACGGAGCUAUGAGGUUCUCACUGUCCCAAACUGUCUCUCAGCGAACCAACUGUAGUGGGAACGGUCACUAGAUAUCCAGCGGGGAAAGAAGACCCUGUAGAGCUUCACUUUGGUCUAGUCUUGUAUAGUUCCUGCGGGGGUGUAGACUAGGUGGGAGAGCAAUCGAUUCUGAAAAACCACUACCCUGUUGGAAUUAUGCUUAC
rnacentral:ncRNA from 2 species